rnacentral:tRNA from 1 species
GGGAAUGUGGUGAAAUUGGUAGACACGACGGACUUAAAAUCCGUUGCCUAUUGUUGGCAUGAGGGUUCAAUUCCCUCCGUUCCCA